rnacentral:rRNA from 1 species
UACGUAGGUGGCAAGCGUUGUUCGGAAUUAUUGGGCGUAAAGGGCGCGUAGGCGGGCGGUCAAGUCAGAGGUGAAAUCCUCCAGCUCAACUGGAGAAGUGCCCCUGAUACUGGCCGUCUCGAGGGAGGUAGGGGCAUGUGGAACUUCCGGUGGAGCGGUGAAAUGCGUAGAUAUCGGAAGGAACGCCGGUGGCGAAAGCGACGUGCUGGACCUCUUCUGACGCUGAGGCACGAAAGCCAGGGGAGCAAACGGG